rnacentral:rRNA from 1 species
AUGCGGGGCUAUACCUGCAGUAGAACGCUGAAGAGAGGAGCUUGCUCUUCUUGGAUGAGUUGCGAACGGGUGAGUAACGCGUAGGUAACCUGCCUUGUAGCGGGGGAUAACUAUUGGAAACGAUAGCUAAUACCGCAUAACAAUGGAUGACACAUGUCAUUUAUUUGAAAGGGGCAAUUGCUCCACUACAAGAUGGACCUGCGUUGUAUUAGCUAGUAGGUGAGGUAAUGGCUCACCUAGGCGACGAUACAUAGCCGACCUGAGAGGGUGAUCGGCCACACUGGGACUGAGACACGGCCCAGACUCCUACGGGAGGCAGCAGUAGGGAAUCUUCGGCAAUGGGGGCAACCCUGACCGAGCAACGCCGCGUGAGUGAAGAAGGUUUUCGGAUCGUAAAGCUCUGUUGUAAGUCAAGAACGGGUGUGAGAGUGGAAAGUUCACACUGUGACGGUAGCUUACCAGAAAGGGACGGCUAACUACGUGCCAGCAGCCGCGGUAAUACGUAGGUCCCGAGCGUUGUCCGGAUUUAUUGGGCGUAAAGCGAGCGCAGGCGGUUUGAUAAGUCUGAAGUUAAAGGCUGUGGCUCAACCAUAGUUCGCUUUGGAAACUGUCAAACUUGAGUGCAGAAGGGGAGAGUGGAAUUCCAUGUGUAGCGGUGAAAUGCGUAGAUAUAUGGAGGAACACCGGUGGCGAAAGCGGCUCUCUGGUCUGUAACUGACGCUGAGGCUCGAAAGCGUGGGGAGCGAACAGGAUUAGAUACCCUGGUAGUCCACGCCGUAAACGAUGAGUGCUAGGUGUUGGAUCCUUUCCGGGAUUCAGUGCCGCAGCUAACGCAUUAAGCACUCCGCCUGGGGAGUACGACCGCAAGGUUGAAACUCAAAGGAAUUGACGGGGGCCCGCACAAGCGGUGGAGCAUGUGGUUUAAUUCGAAGCAACGCGAAGAACCUUACCAGGUCUUGACAUCCCGAUGCUAUUUCUAGAGAUAGAAAGUUACUUCGGUACAUCGGUGACAGGUGGUGCAUGGUUGUCGUCAGCUCGUGUCGUGAGAUGUUGGGUUAAGUCCCGCAACGAGCGCAACCCCUAUUGUUAGUUGCCAUCAUUCAGUUGGGCACUCUAGCGAGACUGCCGGUAAUAAACCGGAGGAAGGUGGGGAUGACGUCAAAUCAUCAUGCCCCUUAUGACCUGGGCUACACACGUGCUACAAUGGUUGGUACAACGAGUUGCGAGUCGGUGACGGCGAGCUAAUCUCUUAAAGCCAAUCUCAGUUCGGAUUGUAGGCUGCAACUCGCCUACAUGAAGUCGGAAUCGCUAGUAAUCGCGGAUCAGCACGCCGCGGUGAAUACGUUCCCGGGCCUUGUACACACCGCCCGUCACACCACGAGAGUUUGUAACACCCGAAGUCGGUGAGGUAACCUUUGGAGCCAGCCGCCUAAGGUGACAGGUAU